UAGGGAAUCUUCCGCAAUGGACGCAAGUCUGACGGAGCAACGCCGCGUGAGUGAAGAAGGAUUUCGGUUCGUAAAACUCUGUUGUUAGAGAAGAACAGCGCAUAGAGUAACUGUUAUGCGUGUGACGGUAUCUAACCAGAAAGCCACGGCUAACUACGUGCCAGCAGCCGCGGUAAUACGUAGGUGGCAAGCGUUGUCCGGAUUUAUUGGGCGUAAAGCGAGCGCAGGCGGUCAAUUAAGUCUGAUGUGAAAGCCCCCGGCUCAACCGGGGAGGGUCAUUGGAAACUGGUUGACUUGAGUGCAGAAGAGGAGAGUGGAAUUCCAUGUGUAGCGGUGAAAUGCGUAGAUAUAUGGAGGAACACCAGUGGCGAAGGCGGCUCUCUGGUCUGUAACUGACGCUGAGGCUCGAAAGCGUGGGGAGCGAACAGG
rnacentral:rRNA from 1 species